rnacentral:rRNA from 1 species
AGUGGACGCUGGCGGCGUGCUUAACACAUGCAAGUCGAACGAGAACGGGUUAUAGCUUGCUAUAAUUGUCAGCUAAGUGGCGCACGGGUGAGUAAUGUAUAGGUAAUAUGCCUCUUACUAAGGGAUAACAAAUGGAAACGUUUGCUAAUACCUUAUACUCCUUAUUAACAGAAGUUAAUAAGGGAAAGAUUUAUUGGUAAGAGAUUAGCCUGUAUUGUAUCAGUUAGUUGGUGGGGUAAUGGCUUACCAAGACUAUGACACAUAACUGGUUUGAGAGGAUGAUCAGUCACACUGGAACUGAGACACGGUCCAGACUCCUACGGGAGGCAGCAGUGGGGAAUAUUGCACAAUGGACGAAAGUCUGAUGCGGCAACGCCGCGUGGAGGAUGACACAUUUCGGUGCGUAAACUCCUUUUAUAUGAGAAGAUAAUGACGGUAUUAUAUGAAUAAGCACCGGCUAACUCCGUGCCAGCAGCCGCCGUAA